AUAUUUACCUGGCAGGGGAGACACUAUGAUCACAAAGGUGGUUUUCCCAGGGUUAGGCUCAUAUUCCAGGUGUGCUGACCCCUGCAAUUUCCCCAAAUGCAGGAAAUUCAACUCUAUAAUCGGUGGUUGGGGGAACUGUGUUUGCAAUUUCCCA
rnacentral:snRNA from 1 species